rnacentral:rRNA from 1 species
UGGGGAAUAUUGGACAAUGGGCGCAAGCCCGAUCCAGCAAUGCCGCGUGUGUGAAGAAGGCCUUCGGGUUGUAAAGCACUUUUAUCAGGAGCGAAACGCUGUCGGCUAAUACCCGGCGGAACUGACGGUACCUGAGGAAUAAGCACCGGCUAACUUCGUGCCAGCAGCCGCGGUAAUACGAAGGGUGCAAGCGUUAAUCGGAAUUACUGGGCGUAAAGCGUGCGUAGGCGGUUUCUUAAGUCUGCUGUGAAAUCCCCGGGCUCAACCUGGGAAUGGCAGUGGAUACUGGGAGGCUAGAGUGUGUCAGAGGGUGGUGGAAUUCCCGGUGUAGCGGUGAAAUGCGUAGAGAUCGGGAGGAACAUCAGUGGCGAAGGCGGCCACCUGGGACAACACUGACGCUGAGGCACGAAAGCGUGGGGAGCAAACAGGAUUAGAUACCCUGGUAGUCCACGCCCUAAACGAUGCGAACUGGAUGUUGGUCUCAACUCGGAGAUCAGUGUCGAAGCUAACGCGUUAAGUUCGCCGCCUGGGGAGUACGGUCGCAAGACUGAAACUCAAAUGAAUUGAC